rnacentral:rRNA from 1 species
AACGAACGCUGGCGGCAGGCUUAACACAUGCAAGUCGAACGCAUCCUUCGGGGUGAGUGGCAGACGGGUGAGUAACGCGUGGGAACGUGCCCUUCAGUUCGGGAUAACCCAGGGAAACUUGGGCUAAUACCGGAUACGUGCGAGAGCAGAAAGAUUUAUCGCUGAAGGAUCGGUCCCGCGUCUGAUUAGCUAGUUGGUGGGGUAAUGGCCCACCAAGGCGACGAUCAGUAGCUGGUCUGAGAGGAUGAUGAGCCACAUUGGGACUGAGACACGGCGCAAACUCCUACGGGAGGCAGCAGUGGGGAAUAUUGGACAAUGGGCGCAAGCCUGAUCCAGCCAUGCCGCGUGAGUGAUGAAGGCCUUAGGGUUGUAAAGCUCUUUCGUCCGGGACGAUAAUGACGGUACCGGAAGAAGAAGCCCCGGCUAACUUCGUGCCAGCCGCCGCCGUAAGAC